UAGUAUUAGUUGUGUUCUUGAAACUUAAAGAAUUUGGCGGUAUCCUACUCCGUUCAGAGGAAUCUGUCUCGUUAUCGAUAGUCCGCGUUGGACCUUACUUAGGGUUAGUUUUGGUUUGUAUACCGCCGUUUAUUGAUUAUCUUUUUAGAGUAUCAUGAAUUUUCUGGUUUCUUUAAUUUGAUUUAUUGCAGGUCAAGGUGCAGCUUUUUCUAAGUGUAAUGAUGGAUUACAGUGUUAUGUGUUGUUUGGAUUGUUUAUUUUAAUAUUGGCAUGAAAUUGGAUUUGGUUGUAAUGUUUUGUAGAUUGUUUUCAUGAUAGUUGGUUCUAGGAUAUGUACACAU
rnacentral:rRNA from 1 species